rnacentral:tRNA from 1 species
GGGGCCAUAGCUCAGCUGGGGGAGCGCCUGCUUUGCACGCAGGAGGUCAGGAGUUCGAUCCUCCUUGGCUCCACCA